rfam:Stegodyphus mimosarum contig120793, whole genome shotgun sequence.
GCCUUCGUGGUGUAGUGGUCAGCACGCUCGACGCGUAACCGAGAGAUCCGUGGUUCGAUUCCCGGCGAAGGCG